UGAAUACGAGACGCUACGGCGUCGAAGCAGUCUAUGUCAUACUUCCAAGAAAAGCUCGCAAUGUCAUAAACAAAUAAUGCCUGUACCAUAACCGACACAGGUGGGUAGGUAGAGUAUACUAAGGGGCGCGAGAUAACUCUCUCUAAGGAACUCGGCAAAAUGACUCCGUAACUUCGGGAGAAGGAGUGCCUUAUUUAUAAGGUUGCAAUAACAAGAUCCAAGCAACUGUUUAUCAAAAACACAGGUCUCCGCUAAGUCGUAAGACGAUGUAUGGGGGCUGACGCCUGCCCAGUGCCAGAAGGUUAAAGAAGUUGGUUAGCAUUCGCGAAGCUGAUAACUGAAGCCCUGGUGAACGGCGGCCGUAACGAUAACGGUCCUAAGGUAGCGAAAUUCCUUGUCGGGUAAGUUCCGACCCGCACGAAAGGCGUAAUGAUUUGGAUACUGUCUCGGAGAGGGGCUCGGUGAAAUAGACUUGUCUGUGAAGAUGCGGACUACCUGCACCUGGACAGAAAGACCCUAUGAAGCUUUACUGUAACUUGAAAUUGAAAUUGGACUUUAUUUGCGCAGCAUAGGUGGGAGGCGUUGAGAGUAUUCUUGCGGGAAUAUUGGAGCCAUCAGUGAGAUACCACUCUUGUAAUGUUAGAUUUCUAACUUUGGGUCAUUAUCUGGUCAAAGAACAGUUUCAGGCGGGCAGUUUGACUGGGGCGGUCGCCUCCCAAAUGGUAACGGAGGCGUACAAAGGUUUCCUCUGAACGGGUAGAAAUCGUAUCUAGAGUGUAAAGGCAUAAGGAAGCUUGACUGUGAGACCUACAAGUCGAGCAGGGACGAAAGUCGGUCUUAGUGAUCUGACGGUGCUGAGUGGAAAGGCCGUCACUCAACGGAUAAAAGUUACUCUAAGGAUAACAGGCUGAUCUCCCCCAAGAGUUCACAUCGACGGGGAGGUUUGGCACCUCGAUGUCGGCUCAUCGCAUCCUGGGGCGGUAGUACGUCCCAAGGGUUGGGCUGUUCGCCCAUGAAAGCGGUACGCGAGCUGGGUUCAGAACGUCGUGAGACAGUUCGGUCCAUAUCCGGUGUAGGCGUUAGAAUAUUGAGAGGAGCCUUCUUUAGUACGAGAGGACCGAGAAGGACAUACCCCCUGGUGUACCAGUUAUCGUGCCAACGGUAAACGCUGGGUAGCUAUGUAUGGAGAGGAUAACCGCUGAAAGCAUCUAAGUGGGAAGCCCACCUCAAGAUAAGUAUUCC
rnacentral:rRNA from 1 species